rfam:Sus scrofa chromosome 11.
UCCCUGGUGGUCUAGUGGUUAAGGAUCUGGCAUUAUCAUUGCUAUGGUGUGGGUUUAAUCCCUGGCCUGGGAA